UACCCCUCACACAUCAGAUAGAGCACUAAUCUCUAGGGUAUAUGAAGAACUCAAAAAACUAAGCACCAUAAAAAACCAAAUAACCCAAUCAAUAAAUGUAAUUUUUAAUAUAUAUAUACACUCUGAGGCUAAGAUCUAGUUACCUACUUAGUAAAUAAGUAGAGACAUAAUAAAUAUAUGCAUAUUGAGGCGCUUUAUGUAUAUUUGGCAAACAUUGCCAAACUACAUUCCAGGCCUGCAGUCUGUCAAUAAAGUAAUUUUUUUUUUAAAUCCCCAAACCUCAAUGGUUUACUCAAUGGUUUAAACACCUGGCUUUUCCAUCAUCUGGCUGUGCCACUCUAUCCCACUGGUUGAUCAUUCUAUCUCAUUUCUUCUGCUGCUAACUAAGUAACUGUAGAUGAUGGCAAAUUUCAACCCACAUUUUAUGGAACCCUAGAUGUUUCUGGAAUUGCCCCAGAAGCCAUCAUGCAGAAGGCAAGAACUAAGCCCAGUUUUAAAAUUGGUAAACCCUCCACCUGCUUCCUGCAAUGUUAUGUCAAGGAAAAAAGCCUUCCUUUUACCCCUACCAGUUUUAUAUCUCUAGGUCAAUUUUUAUUUGAUGAAGAGAAAUGUUUAAAGAUCACUCCACUUCAGGUAGAUUUUCAGAUUAAACUCAAAAUAUUUUUAACACUUUGAUUUACGGUUUUUAGUACAUUUUUUCCCUAGCAGUAGUAGUAAUUCAUUUUAGCAGCUUGUUGACUUUU
rnacentral:lncRNA from 1 species